UACGUAGGGGGGCGAGCGUUGUCCGGAUUUAUUGGGCGUAAAGAGCGUGUAGGCGGCCAGAUAGGUCUGCUGUGAAAACUCGAGGCUCAACCUCCAGACGUCGAUGGAAACCGUCUGGCUAGAGUCCGGAAGAGGAGAGUGGAAUUCCUGGUGUAGCGGUGAAAUGCGCAGAUAUCAGGAAGAACACCCGUGGCGAAAGCGGCUCUCUGGGACGGUACUGACGCUGAGACGCGAAAGCGUGGGGAGCGAACAGG
rnacentral:rRNA from 1 species